GUGUCAGCAGCCGCGGUAAUACGUAGGGUGCGAGCGUUAAUCGGAAUUACUGGGCGUAAAGCGUGCGUAGGCGGCGCGCUAAGACAGGUGUGAAAGCCCCGGGCUUAACCUGGGAAUGGCGCUUGUGACUGGCGGGCUCGAGUGCGGCAGAGGGAGGUGGAAUUCCACGUGUAGCAGUGAAAUGCGUAGAGAUGUGGAGGAACACCGAUGGCGAAGGCAGCCUCCUGGGCCGACACUGACGCUCAAGCACGAAAGCGUGGGGAGCAAACAGGAUUAGAAACCCUCGUAGUCC
rnacentral:rRNA from 1 species